rnacentral:rRNA from 1 species
GACGAACGCUGGCGGCGUGCUUAACACAUGCAAGUCGAACGGAAAGGCCCUGCUUUUGUUGGUUUCUCGAUUGGCGAACGGGUGAGUAACACGUGAGUAACCUGCCCUUGACUUUGGGAUAACUUCAGGAAACUGGGUCUAAUACCGGAUAGGAUCUCCUGCUGCAUGUUGUUGGUUGGAGAGUUUCGGCGGUUGGGGAUGGACUCGCGGCUUAUCAGCUUGUUGGUGGGGUAGUGGCUUACCAAGGCUUUGACGGGUAGCCGGCCUGAGAGGGUGACCGGCCACAGUGGGACUGGGAAACGGCCCAGAGGCAUACGGGAGGAAGGAGUGGGGAAUAUUGGGAACAGCGCGGCAGCCUGAUGGAGGAACGCCGCGUGCGGGAUGACGGCCUUCGGGUUGUAACACGCUUUUGAGUGUGACGAAGCGUGAGUGACGGUAAUGGGUAAAGAAGCACGGGUUAAUUACGU